rnacentral:misc_RNA from 1 species
AACGCACAUUGCGCCCGCUAGUAUUCUGGCGGGCAUGCCUGUCCGAGCGUCAUUUCAACCCUCAAGCCCCUCCGGGCGUGGCGUUGGGGAUCGGCCCCACUUCGGUGGCCGGCCCCUAAUUGUAGUGGCGGUCUCGCCGCUGCCUCCUCUGCGUAGUAGAAACACCUCGCACUGGGAAGCGGCGCGGCCACGCCGUUAAACAGAUGAAUUAUCUCAAGGUUGACCUCGGAUCAGGUAGGAAUACCCGCUGAACUUAA